rnacentral:rRNA from 1 species
UGGGGAAUAUUGGACAAUGGGCGAAAGCCUGAUCCAGCCAUGCCGCGUGUGUGAAGAAGGUCUUCGGAUUGUAAAGCACUUUAAGUUGGGAGGAAGGGCAGUAAGCGAAUACCUUGCUGUUUUGACGUUACCGACAGAAUAAGCACCGGCUAACUCUGUGCCAGCAGCCGCGGUAAUACAGAGGGUGCAAGCGUUAAUCGGAAUUACUGGGCGUAAAGCGCGCGUAGGUGGUUCGUUAAGUUGAAUGUGAAAGCCCCGGGCUCAACCUGGGAACUGCAUCCAAAACUGGCGAGCUAGAGUAGGGCAGAGGGUGGUUGAAUUUCCUGUGUAUCGGUGAAAUGCCUAGAUAUAGGAAGGAACACCAGUGGCGAAGGCGACCACCUGGGCUCAUACUGACACUGAGGUGCGAAAGCGUGGGGAGCAAACAGG